rnacentral:misc_RNA from 1 species
GAAAUGCGAUAAGUAAUGCGAAUUGCAGAAUUCAGUGAAUCAUCGAAUCUUUGAACGCACAUUGCGCCCGCUAGUAUUCUGGCGGGCAUGCCUGUCUGAGCGUCAUUUCAACCCUCAUUCCCGGCUUCGUGUCGGGGAUGGUGUUGGGGAUCGGCCUCCCGGUUGCGGGCGGCCGGCCCCGAAAUAGAGUGGCGACCACGCCGUAGCCUCCUCUGCGUAGUAGUGAAAACCUCGCAGGCGGAGAGCGGUGCGGCCUGCCGUAAAACCCCAAACUCUUCUAAGGUUGACCUCAGAUCAGGUAGGAAUACCCGCUGAACUUAAGC